GCGGAGGAAAAGAAACCAACAGGGAUUGCCCUAGUAACGGCGAGUGAAGCGGCAACAGCUCAAAUUUGAAAUCUGGCGUCUUCGGCGUCCGAGUUGUAAUUUGCAGAGGGCGCUUUGGCAUUGGCAGCGGUCCAAGUUCCUUGGAACAGGACGUCACAGAGGGUGAGAAUCCCGUACGUGGUCGCUAGCCUUUACCGUGUAAAGCCCCUUCGACGAGUCGAGUUGUUUGGGAAUGCAGCUCUAAAUGGGAGGUAAAUUUCUUCUAAAGCUAAAUACUGGCCAGAGACCGAUAGCGCACAAGUAGAGUGAUCGAAAGAUGAAAAGCACUUUGGAAAGAGAGUUAAAAAGCACGUGAAAUUGUUGAAAGGGAAGCGCUUGCAGCCAGACUUGCCUGUAGUUGCUCAUCCGGGUUUCUACCCGGUGCACUCUUCUACGGGCAGGCCAGCAUCAGUUUGGGCGGUUGGAUAAAGGUCUCUGUCAUGUACCUCUCUUCGGGGAGAACUUAUAGGGGAGACGACAUGCAACCAGCCUGGACUGAGGUCCGCGCAUCUGCUAGGAUGCUGGCGUAAUGGCUGUAAGCGGCCCGUCUUGAAACACGGACCAAGGAGUCUAACAUCUAUGCGAGUGUUUGGGUGUCAAGCCCGAGCGCGUAAUGAAAGUGAACGGAGGUGGGAACCCUUCGGGGUGCACCAUCGACCGAUCCUGAUGUCUUCGGAUGGAUUUGAGUAAGAGCAUAGCUGUUGGGACCCGAAAGAUGGUGAACUAUGCUUGAAUAGGGUGAAGCCAGAGGAAACUCUGGUGGAGGCUCGCAGCGGUUCUGACGUGCAAAUCGAUCGUCA
rnacentral:sRNA from 1 species